AUAUCAAUAAGCGGAGGAAAAGAAACCAACAGGGAUUGCCUUAGUAACGGCGAGUGAAGCGGCAACAGCUCAAAUUUGAAAUCUGCCUCUAGGCCGAGUUGUAAUUUGUAGAAGAUGCUUCGGGUGUGGCACCGGUCUAAGUUCCUUGGAACAGGACGUCAUAGAGGGUGAGAAUCCCGUCUUUGACCUGGAGUAAAUCAUCGCCACGUACGAUCCGAGUUUAUAGAGUCGCGUUGUUUGGGAUUGCAGCGCUAAAUGGGUGGUAAAUUCCAUCUAAAGCUAAAUAUUACUGCGAGACCGAUAGCGCACAAGUA
rnacentral:rRNA from 1 species